rnacentral:rRNA from 1 species
UACAGAGGUCUCAAGCGUUGUUCGGAUUCAUUGGGCGUAAAGGGUGCGUAGGCGGCGCCGUAAGUCGGAUGUGAAAUCUCGGGGCUCAACCCUGAAACUGCAUUCGAUACUGCGGUGCUAGAGGACUGGAGAGGAAACUGGAAUUCACGGUGUAGCAGUGAAAUGCGUAGAUAUCGUGAGGAAGACCUGUGGCGAAGGCGGGUUUCUGGACAGAUCCUGACGCUGAGGCACGAAGGCCAGGGGAGCAAACGGG